UACGUAGGGUGCGAGCGUUGUCCGGAAUUAUUGGGCGUAAAGAGCUCGUAGGCGGCUUGUCACGUCGGUUGUGAAAGCCCGGGGCUUAACCCCGGGUCUGCAGUCGAUACGGGCAGGCUAGAGUUCGGUAGGGGAGAGUCGGAAUUCCUGGUGUAGCGGUGAAAUGACGCAGAUAUCAGGAGGAACACCGGUGGCGAAGGCGGGUCUCUGGGCCGUAACUGACGCUGAGGAGCGAAAGCGUGGGGAGCGAACAGG
rnacentral:rRNA from 1 species